GAGCAUGCUGGUAGCUAGAGCCAGGGGCGGUAGCGUG
rfam:Kluyvera intermedia strain CAV1151, complete genome.